UUGCUCGAGAGACCCAUGAGGACAAUUCUCAAGAUCCAGUGGACGAGAGUUACCUGAACCUGCCACAAGAACUGAGGGAGACCUUUAAGCAGGAGUUUAGGAGGCAAAAAAUUGGUGUCAUGGAGAGAUUUUGGAAUGUUUACUUCAAAGAAAACCCAGUAGAUGGAGUAGAUGACUCCGGAAAUGAAAAACAAAAACAAACAGUAGACAAGGUGACCUGGUGGACGGAACACUGGACAAGAG